UACGUAGGCAGCGAGCGUUGUUCGGAGUUACUGGGCGUAAAGAGUGCGUAGGCGGUUUUCUAAGUUUGGUGUGAAAUCUCCCGCUUAACUGGGAGGGUGCGCCGAAGACUGGAAGGCUUGAGUAUGGGAGAGGUAAGCGGAAUUCCUGGUGUAGCGAUGAAAUGCGCAGAUAUCGGGAGGAACACCGGUGGCGAAGGCGGUUCUCUGGGCCGGUACUGACGCUGAGGAGCGAAAGCGUGGGGAGCGAACAGG
rnacentral:rRNA from 1 species